AGUAGUUUGAUCAGUGGCUCGAGGACGAACGCUGGCGGCGUGCCUAACACAUGCAAGUCGAGCGGAGACAUACGACGGAUUUGAAGUUUUCGGAUGGAGAAGAAGAUGUAUGUUUUAGCGGCGGACGGGUGAGUAACGCGUGAGCAACCUGUCCUUCACGAGGGGGAUAACACAGCGAAAGUUGUACUAAUACCGCAUAAGACCACAGAGCCACAUGGCUUAGGGGUCAAAGGAGCAAUCCGGUGAAGGGUGGGCUCGCGUCCGAUUAGAUAGUUGGUGAGGUAACGGCCCACCAAGUCGACGAUCGGUAGCCGACCUGAGAGGGUGAUCGGCCACAUUGGGACUGAGACACGGCCCAAACUCC
rnacentral:rRNA from 1 species